CUGACUUGACCAAUUUGGUCUUAUUGAGUUUCAGACUUAGAUUGAUUAGUGAUGUAGACACUAUAAAAGUCUUCCUUCAUGCUUGGUCAAUAGAGUAUAUCAAGAUCUUAGUGAGUUUAUUGUGCUAUCCACAAGACUUACUAUAGAAUUGAUAUGAUGUUGACUAAGUGUAUACUGAUGCUUUUGACAUAUUUGAAUGGUGUUGCCU
rnacentral:lncRNA from 1 species